rnacentral:tRNA from 8 species
GCGCCCUUAGCUCAGCUGGAUAGAGCGUCAGCCUCCGACGCUGAAGGUCAGAGGUUCGAAUCCUCUAGGGCGCGCCA